CACACGCGAACGCGACACUCGCAAAGUCGCAAGCGGGUCGCAAUCAAGGCUGCUCCCCUCUAUCUCCGUGUUCGCCCCUCGGUUCACCACCCGCCGCCGCCGAGACCUCCUCCUCGCCGGCUACUCCUGACCCCAUAAAGGCAGCGCUCGGAGGUGGCCCUCUGUCGGGUGGAGUGGUGGACACAUCCGCGCCCAUGGCCAACCGCGGCGCUGCGGCCGGCAAGCUCACCGUCGCCGAGACAUUCUCCAACCUCAGGGAGCAAGGCAAGAGUGCAUUCAUCCCGUUCAUCACUGCUGGUGAUCCUGACCUGGCAACCACAUCAAAAGCAUUGAAGAUUCUCAAUUCCUGCGGUUCGGAUGUUAUAGAGGUUGGCGUACCAUACUCGGAUCCACUGGCUGAUGGACCAGUUAUUCAGAUUGACAUCAUUUCAGGCUUCUGCAACACGGGCGCUUAAGAAAGGCACUACACUCGAUUCUGUCAUAGAAAUGCUGAAGGGGGUUACACCUGAGCUUUCUUGCCCCAUUGUUCUUUUCACAUACUAUAAUCCAAUUCUGAAACGUGGUGUGGGAAACUUCAUGUCUUUUAUCAAACAAGCUGGCAUACAUGGACUUGUAGUGCCUGAUCUUCCCUUGGAGGAGACAGCGUUGCUGAGGAGCGAGGCCAUUAUGCACAACAUAGAGCUGGUUCAUACCCACUCUCAUCUUUGCAUGCACCACUUGCACAAAGUUUGUUGCGUACUUGUGUUGCUAUCUGGGUGCUAACUAAAUUCUUACUCGAGAUGGGACCUAUCAAAUCUUCAGAUUGGGCUCUGCCCAUUCCAGACCUGCAAAUAUACACAGUUGCAAAAGAUCUUCUGGGCCUUUGCAGCAACCCAGCCCUAGAAGCGGGUCUAGCUACUUGGGCUCACACAUGUCAACAGGGUUUGUCCAGUCCACUAAAUUCAGGAUAGGUUACAUCAAGGCCUUUUUUUUAUUUCUUGUAACCUGGUUUGGUACCACACCGAAUAGCUUUGCUUAUUAAUCAUGGUGGACCAAUCAACAGAAUAGAUAUCUUGAGUGUAAUGUACUUGGUAUUUUUAUAAAAGCUUCCUUUAUCGAAAAAAAUCUUGAGUAUCAGCCAUAUACCAUUUUUUUUUGCAUGAUUGCUUGCAGGUGCUGCUUACAACGCCAACCACGCCAACAGAUCGGAUGAAGGGAAUUGCACAAGCUUCAGAAGGAUUUCUCUAUCUUGUGAGCGCUGUAGGGGUUACAGGUGCACGCUCAAAUGUAAACUUACGUGUAGAACACCUUCUUAGGGAGAUCAAGAAGGUUACAGACAAACCGGUAGCUGUUGGUUUCGGUGUAUCGACUCCAGAGCAUGUGAAACAGAUCGUGGGCUGGGGAGCGGACGGUGUGAUUGUUGGCAGUGCGAUUGUGAGGCAGUUGUGUGAGGCUGCUACUCCUGAAGAGGGUCUGGAAAGGCUCGAGGAGUACGCCAGGAGUAUGAAGGCUGCUAUGCCGUGAGCUGAUCUCACUCCCCGUCACAGGCAAGGUAAAUAGAACAUGGUUUUAGCAAUAUUCUGGGCAUGGGUUUGGCAUCCAGAACUCAUCUUAGUGCUGUACGGGUCGUUCUCGGGUGGUGAGAACGAAGUCUGGCUUUGCCUAUAAUAGAAAAGGGUUAAACUGAGUUAGUGCGACAUUUUGAUGGAAAAGCGAGUGAUUGCGAGAUAUCAGUUCAUGCUUAUUGGCAGAUCCUUUUUUUUUUUUUUUGCUGAAAGAUGGAAAUGUUAGGGAUGAGGUUGCCCUGGCCUCUUGAGAGGAUAGGAAUAAGAGAGGAUAAGUUCGUUAUGAUUUAUAUGGCUUUCCGCUUGAACCCCACCAGCUGGUGUCCAUGGGGAUGCGGGCAGAGCAGUGUCUGAUUGGCUGCACUGAAAAUGACAUUACCUUCA